UUCCUGUAGUUGAAUGACAACGGUGUUUCUUCAAGUCACUGGUCUCGGUUAGAGUCUGAGCGGGAAUU
rnacentral:tRNA from 1 species